rnacentral:lncRNA from 1 species
AGCACCAGAGCAGGAAAAGUGGCUUUCUGCAGGGAAUAGCUCCUGGCACCCGCUAUGGCAGCACCACGAUCUUCUUCUCCAGCACCUGCGGAGGGAAGAGGACGCUCCUCACCGCCGUGUCCAGCUCCUCCAGUGCCAGCUGGGCAUGCAGCACGGCCGCGCCGUCGGGCUCGGCUGCCACCACGUGCUUCAGCAGGCGGUACAGGUCCCGCAGCACGUCCUGCAGCACCUCAGUUGCCUUCUUGCUGAGCCCCUGCAGCAGCAGCACCACCACAUGCACGGCCGCUCUCCGCACCUCUGCCUCAGGGUCUGUCUUGGCGAUGGCCGUCAAACAGGAGGACACCUCAUGGAUGACAGAGCCCAGCUGGAAGCCGAGCCUUUGGCACAGCUCCCCCAGGUUGGAGAGGCUGCUGGCACGCAGUGUGCUGUCCGGGUCCCGCGCUCCCCUUAGGAAGGCAUGGAUCAGGGGCUCCCGGUGCUUGAUGACCAUAUCCCCCAGCGCCCGAGUGAUGCGCAUCAGCACCUCGCCCAGCUUCAUCCUGGUCACAGCAGCUGUGGUGUCCUCUGUGCCCUGGACAGGACGCCCAUAGCGGGCCAGCAGGACGGGCAGGAUCUGC